AUGUCGUGGUCAUCAGGCGGUUCUUCUGCUCCUGGAUUCCGGCGAGCGUCGGGAAGGAGGGACACGGAUGCGAUGUCGCCGGUGCGCUAUCGUGAGCAGCCUAUGGCGUACGAGCCGGCGAAGUUAUGCCACUGCAAUCCGCGGAAAGCACCGAGAUGGAUUUCUUGGAGUCGUCAGAACCCGGGGAGGAGGUAUUACGCGUGCGUCAAUGCAAUGGUUAGCCCGGAUUUUUCUGCUCAUUCUUCUGUUCUUCCUCAUCCCCUCAUUCUGAUUUAUUUCUUUUGUUCAUUUGCGUAG
rnacentral:rRNA from 1 species